CCAGGACUAAACCAGGACUAAACCAGGACUAAAUCAGGACUAAACCAGGUCUAAACCAGGACUAAACCAGGACUAAACCAGGACUAAACCAGGACUAAACCAGGACUAAACCAGGUAUAAACCAGGACUAAACCAGGACUAAACCAGGACUAAACCAGGACUAGACCAGGACUAAACCAGGACUAAACCAGGACUAAACCAGGACUAAACCAGGACUAAACCAGGACUAGACCAGGACUAAACCAGGACUAAACCAGGUAUAAACCAGGACUAAACCAGGACUAAACCAGGUCUAAACCAGGACUAAACCAGGACUGAACCAGGACUGAACCAGGACUGAACCAGGACUAAACCAGGUCUAAACCAGGACUAAACCAGGACUAAACCAGGACUAAACCAGGACUAGACCAGGACUAAACCAGGACUAAACCAGGUAUAAACCAGGACUAAACCAGGUCUAAACCAGGACUAAACCAGGUCUAAACCAGGACUAAACCAGGACUAAACCAGGACUAGACCAGGACUAAACCAGGACUAAACCAGGUCUAAACCAGGACUAAACCAGGACCAAACCAG
ensembl:lncRNA